rnacentral:rRNA from 1 species
UACGUAGGCAGCAAGCGUUGUUCGGGUAUUGACUGGACGGUAAAGGGUGCGUGACGGCGGCCUUAAUAAGUAUGGUGAUGAAAUCCGUCCCGGCUUAAACUGGGAGGGGUGCGCUAUAGACUGUGGGGCUAGAGUGUGGGAGAGGAAAGUGGAAUUCCUGGUGUAGCGGUGAAAUGCGUAGAUAUCAGGAGGAACACCGGUGGUGUAAACGGCUUUCUGGACCAUAACUGACGCUGAGGCACGAAAGCGUGGGUAGCAAACAGG